rnacentral:rRNA from 1 species
UACGUAGGGGGCGAGCGUUAUCCGGAUUCAUUGGGCGUAAAGCGCGCGUAGGCGGCCGCCUAAGCGGAACCUCUAACCCCGGGGCUCAACCUCGGGCCGGGUUCCGGACUGGGCGGCUCGAGUGCGGUAGAGGAGAGCGGAAUUCCCGGUGUAGCGGUGGAAUGCGCAGAUAUUAGGAGGAACACCAGUGGCGAAGGCGAGUUGCUGGACUGUAACUGACACUGAGGCACGAAAGCGUGGGGAGCAAACAGG